UACAGAGGGUGCGAGCGUUAAUCGGAAUUACUGGGCGUAAAGCGUGCGUAGACGGUAGCGUAAGUCAGAUGUGAAAGCCCCGGGCUCAACCUGGGAAUUGCAUUUGGGACUGCUCUGCUCGGGUGCGGAAGAGGGAAGCGGAAUUUCCGGUGUAGCGGUGAAAUGCGUAGAUAUCGGAAGGAACACCAGUGGCGAAAGCGGCUUCCUGGUCCGACACCGACGUUCAGGCACGAAAGCGUGGGGAGCAAACAGG
rnacentral:rRNA from 1 species